AUUGAACGCUGGCGGCAUGCUUUACACAUGCAAGUCGAACGGUAACAGGCCUUCGGGUGCUGACGAGUGGCGAACGGGUGAGUAAUGCAUCGGAACGUACCCAGAGGUGGGGGAUAACGCAGCGAAAGCUGUGCUAAUACCGCAUGUGAUCUGAGGAUGAAAGCGGGGGACCGCGCAGCAAUGUUUGGCCUCGCGCCUUUGGAGCGGCCGAUGUCGGAUUAGCUAGUUGGUGGGGUAAAGGCCUACCAAGGCGACGAUCCGUAGCUGGUCUGAGAGGACGACCAGCCACACUGGGACUGAGACACGGCCCAGACUCCUACGGGAGGCAGCAGUGGGGAAUUUUGGACAAUGGGCGCAAGCCUGAUCCAGCAAUGCCGCGUGCGGGAAGAAGGCCUUCGGGUUGUAAAACGCUUUUGGCAGGAACGAAACGGUGUCCGCUAAUACCGGGCGCUAAUGACGGUACCUGCAGAAUAAGCACCGGCUAACUACGUG
rnacentral:rRNA from 1 species